CAAACAGGCAAGAGAAGGGAAUGCUGCUCCUUGCCAUCCGGUGAUUCUCAAAAGGAAGCUUUGAAAUCUUAAUUCCUGAGGUCAGGCAGCAGAUGACACCUAUGCAUGAUCCAGCAAACAUCUGAAUGGUGGAAGGCCUCCUCUUCAGAAUAUCGCUGUCCAUCUCCAGAGAAUAGGACCUGGAGCAAUGGAUUCAAACCACAGGAAAAAC